AACGAACGCUGGCGGCAUGCCUAACACAUGCAAGUCGAACGAGACCUUCGGGUCUAGUGGCGCACGGUUGCGUAACGCGUGGGAACCUGCCCUUAGGUUCGGAAUAACUCCCCGAAAGGGGUGCUAAUACCGGAUAAUGUCUUCGGACCAAAGAUUUAUCGCCUUUGGAUGGGCCCGCGUUGGAUUAGCUAGUUGGUAGGGUAAAAGCCUACCAAGGCGACGAUCCAUAGCUGGUCUGAGAGGAUGAUCAGCCACACUGGGACUGAGACACGGCCCAGACUCCUACGGGAGGCAGCAGUGGGGAAUAUUGGACAAUGGGCGAAAGCCUGAUCCAGCAAUGCCGCGUGAGUGAUGAAGGCCUUAGGGUUGUAAAGCUCUUUUACCCGGGAUGAUAAUGACAGUACCGGGAGAAUAAGCUACGGCUAACUCCGUG
rnacentral:rRNA from 1 species